rnacentral:rRNA from 1 species
UACGAAGGGGGCUAGCGUUGCUCGGAAUCACUGGGCGUAAAGCGCACGUAGGCGGAUUGCUAAGUCAGGGGUGAAAUCCUGGAGCUCAACUCCAGAACUGCCUUUGAUACUGGCGAUCUUGAGUCCGGGAGAGGUGAGUGGAACUGCGAGUGUAGAGGUGAAAUUCGUAGAUAUUCGCAGGAACACCAGUGGCGAAGGCGGCUCACCUGGCCCGGUACUGACGCUGAGGUGCGAAAGCGUGGGGAGCAAACAGG